rnacentral:rRNA from 1 species
AUCGGUGACAGGUGGUGCAUGGUUGUCGUCAGCUCGUGUCGUGAGAUGUUGGGUUAAGUCCCGCAACGAGCGCAACCCCUAUUGUAGUUGCCAUCAUUCAGUUGGGCACUCUAGCGAGACUGCCGGUAAUAAACCGGAGGAAGGUGGGGAUGACGUCAAAUCAUCAUGCCCCUUAUGACCUGGGCUACACACGUGCUACAAUGGUUGGUACAACGAGUUGCGAGUCGGUGACGGCGAGCUAAUCUCUUAAAGCCAAUCUCAGUUCGGAUUGUAGGCUGCAACUCGCCUACAUGAAGUCGGAAUCGCUAGUAAUCGCGGAUCAGCACGCCGCGGUGAAUACGUUCCCGGGCCUU